AUAAGUUGGUGAUGUGCAUCCCUUGAAAUUGGGAGCCUCCAUGAGAAAUUUGGUGAAAAAUAGCUGCAACGAUGGUGAAAGGAGUGGUGGGCAUCAGGGUCAGAAAAGGGGAGGGGUGGGGGUUGUAUACUCUAUUUUCACCACCGGAUAUUUGUUAGGAUCAGAGGGUAAAAAUGAAUAUCACGUAAGUUUGUGCAUUUUCACCGUAAGUCAUAUUUCACCAUCGGUUCGUGAUUAAAACCAGCGGUAAAAGCUUAUUCAUCCCCUGCACCCCCUACUAACAAACCCACGGUAAAAGCUUAUCUCCGCCGGUUUGGGUUACACCGGCGGUGAUGCGCUGUUUCAGAAAAUGGUUUAUGUAGUAGUGAUAACUUGAUCUUAAGUAAUUUUAGACACAGAUGGGGAAACAAAUCCUAUCCUUUCAAAAUAACC
rnacentral:lncRNA from 1 species